GGCUAUAUGCUACAUGUGGGAGUGUGAGAUGUGAGGAAGUGGGUGGUGACAGAUCAGACUGACCUCAGUGCCUCUUAGGAGCCGGGCCAGCAACAAGUUUUCCACCCACCCUCCCUUUGCUGCUUUGGGCCUGGUGGGUUGUCACAGCGAGGCAGGGGUGUGUCUUUGCCAAAUAAGGAAUGGUUUGGUAGAUUAGAUGAAAAAGGGGGAUAAUGGCC